CCGACUGCAACGGGGACCACUUGCAUACAGCUACCAUCCUAACCGGGGCGGUUACGAAUUGCCUCACCUACGGCGCUACCGUCCCGCCCUGCCCUGCCGUCUGCCACCCCUCUCCUCCCCCACUUCCCUUCCUCCGCCACCGCCUCCUCCUCCGCCCGUCUGCGAGGAGGUCAAGCCCGCUCGCCACCCCUCUACCCGCCGGCGCCUACUCCGGUUCCGGAGCCAGAGCCGGAGCCGGAGCGCGUCCCUCCUUACGACCACGGAGCAUAAGGAAGCUACAAGUCGGAACCCUACUUCCUGGAUCUCUUCAGGUCCUGGCUCUUUUGGGAGGAAGGGCAUUGGAACCCAUGGGGACUGGUUUUGGGUUACCUCUUUAGGCAUGCUCCGGGUACGGUUAGAAAAGGAUUGGGGUCGAUAGCUACGGGAUUCCUAUCUAUGCUAACGAAAGGCAGGCAGUCAGUCAAUUUUGGUGCAAGUUGAACCGUCACCGGCUCAAAGAUUGGAUUUUUGUGAUGCCAACAGCAAGAAAGCUGACGUGAGUGUGAGCAGUGGAUCAAGUUGUGAUAUUUUCGGAGUAAUUUGAUGGAAUGGUCUGUGCUAUGGUGUUUGGUUAUGGUAAUUUCUUAAUUUGGAUGUCUAUAGUGGUCUUUGUGGAAUGGGGAGAGGAGGGAGGAGACCUGUGAUUUUGUGAAUCCAACUUGUGCCUAUGAUAGGCACUACUACGACCAGCCUCUUUCCAUUCAAGCGAGUCCCAGUCAGCAAGGAUCUCUGAAGAGCAAAUGUAUCGGUAUCAGUAUUCGUCAUCGUAUGAUGAGCAGAAUUAUGUGACUAAUUUGUCUGGAAGCCUGAACUGUGGUUAUGAGAGGCACCACCAUGAGUAGCUGCUACAUGUUCGGAUAAAGAUGAUUGAGCAAACUUGGUCUCGGAAAUUGAGUUACCAUGAUGACUACCAGGAACCGGCAUCUAAAGUCCAACUGGCAUUAUUUGUUGUUUGGUGAACAAGGAUGAGGAAAAUAUCUUAGAAAAUUUCAACAAUGCUUAUGAAAGGCGCUACCAUGAGGCCUCCCUAUGCACUCAGCUCGAGCCUUUCAAGCCGCAAUGGUCACGGGAUCCAAAUAAUUAAUUAUGACGUGUACGAGAAAGAAGUGCCUCUAUAGUCUAACAGGUCUCCAGUCAAAUUAUUCCAGAACGGUGAACUUUUAAUCGUCAUUGAUGAAGCACCACACCAACGCACAGGUGAAAUCAUACAAUAUCUCCUACAUACAUUUUUAAUGUCUUCAGAUUUAGGAGAUUGGAGCAUCUUAAAAAGACCUUGGACCUUGGUAAAGGGCACCACCUGACAGACACAAAAGAUAUGGAAGGGCACAAGGCGCAUACAGAUGGAAUCAUAAGCUAAGAAAGCAAAUACAAAUGGAAUUAUAAUACCUAAAAAGCAAGGCACCCCUAAUCAGCUUAGCACUUCAAAGCAUCAUAGGCUGGUUAUUUUAAUGAGGUUAUUUAUUUUUUUAAAAAAAGCUAGUGGUGGGUGGGGCUGUGAGCUAUUUUUGCUGGUUAUUUAAAGGUAACUAGAGGCAGGCAGGAAAGUCCCACACAUGGAUGUUCAUCAUACUAUGUACACCUCCCACAUGAUCUGAUGAUUCUGAUUUGAUCCCACUAUAUUUAAUUGAUUUGAUCCCACUAUAUUUAAUUGUGCAAUUAUUAAAGAGAAAGUUAGAGGAAGGGAAAGUUGGGAAGGAAGAGAAGAACAGCAUUUUAAAUAAACCAAUUAGAUCAAAGAUUAAGGGGGGAGACAGGUGCCACAGGCCAUGGUCACAUCCAUCUAAAUGCCACCUCAGGAUGGAAAUGCGUUGUCUGCACUCAAGCUGGUUUUUACCCAGUAAAAAAAUUGCAGCUUUCUCCACACAACCCCUCCUUCCAAGA